CUGGAGCUCAUUUAACUUGGCCAGGGCUUUAAUCUGGAGCUCCAUGGCGUCGCACAAGUGUGGCGGCCAGAUGGAGCGGAUUCAUUGCUCCUGCGUGCACCGGGCGCUCCGCGGCCUCAUGUUCAGCAGCAGCAACAAGGCCAGCAACGGCUGGAGGGAGGUGCAGGGCAACUUCAUCCCCUUCUGCUGUUGCCCAAUGUCGAGGACGGUCCAGGAGCCGCCGCUCGUCCUGGCGGUGGACGACAGCCUCGUCGACUGCGUGGUCAUCUCCUGGAUCCUCCGCAGCUCCAAAUACAGAGUGUUUUAGGUGGACACAUUGCUGGAGCCGUGUGGCACUCCUAAUGGUCUCAAGCAUACUCCCGUAAAACAUUUGGAGUACAUUUGUUGGUUGAAGUACCAAGAUAUUGGUGGAACUUCAUUCAAGGAGUAAAACAUUUCCAGUACCAAGAUUGCAGUAAAUUUUGUGGAACUUCACUGCUUGAGACCAUGUUAAUGAUGAUGCUUGUGCAGUACCAAGAUUCAGUAUCAGUAGCCGAGUGUUGGUUGAAGUGACUGUUCAAUUGUUCAGUGUCCGUUUUGUUAUCCUCAUUUCAGAAAUUUAUCUUUCCAUUCCUUCUUCCUAUCCUUCAUGUAGAGACUAUACUGCUUUACUUCAGACAAGUUUUCUUUAAAACCAAAUGAAUUAGGACUUGCAUUUUAGUUUAAAGUUUAUGUGCCUAAUUUAAAGUUUAAUUUCCCAGUAGAUUUUGAAUGUCUUUUCUUGGUUCUCUACCAGAAAACACACUACUCCAUUUUCUGGUGAUACUUAUCUGGUGAUCACAAGAUAUAAAUCCACUAUUACCAGUACCAUUAUCUGGUGAUCACAGAACCAUUUGAAAAUGAUCAAAAUGUACUCCUUUUCAGUUAAUAUAGAGUACUGAAACUGAAAAUGUGCAUACUGAAACUGAAACUGAUCAAAUGGAGUACAAAACCAUUUGAAAACGACCAAGAUGAUCAAAAUGGUCAAAUGGAGUACUCCUCAAUUAACGUAGAGUAGUUACAGUAAUUAUCAUAUCAUCUUGCCCUCUUUAAUAGUCAAUCAACUGUCACUAAUCGAGUGUUGUUUACUCCAACAAUUAUCUUAUUUUUAAUUGUCACUCCUACAAGCAUUUCUUUCUCUUCUCUUUCUGGCUAAUCACUCCACACAAUUUAAAUGAUCAUUCAAGUUCCUUUUGCAAAUUCAAGUUUUUGUAAUGAACUACUUAUAAGAUGGAGUAUGUUCCUUUUGCCUCCCUUGUUAAGCAGUAGUUGUAGAGUACUCCUUUUCAAGAUGUCACCAAGAGUGGCUCCGACUGAGUUAUCACCAAGAGGGGGUCGGCACAGAUUUGUCACCUCUUCAAGCGUCAUGGCAUGUCGGCGCUUGUCACCUCUUCUGGGCCAAAAUCUAACUUUGAAUCAUGCGACCAGUAUGAGCCAGAGCUAUUUCCUGGUUUGAUUUCUCCUGGGUGUACUAUGCUUUCUAGUGUCUGAUCUGAUGGCAAGAAUACUGUGUCGACGGUCAACCUGGACUGUAAAUUGGAUCUGAAAGCAAUAGCUCUCCAGGCAUGCAAUGCAGAGUAUAACCGCAAGGUAAAAUCAUUAUCCUAAGGCAUUCAUAAUGAUGUUUGAUUUUUUUCUCUUAUUGGGCUCGUGAUGCUAUAUUUCCGAAAACAUCCAAAAUUUUAUCACUUUGCUAGCAUCCAGUUUGAUGAAGCUACUACACAUCGAAUCAUCCAGCCUAACGUAGUGAAGUCACUGCCCUUAUAUAAGAGAAAAACAUAUGUUGGAAUCGACCCCUGGUUGGUCGGAAAAGACACGUUGAUUGUCAUCAGUAUAAGACCCACAGCUACUGUCAAAGAUUUGCCAAAUCAACCUGAACAUCAAAUAUAGACACUUGACUUGAUCAGCAGCAGAGUUAUGAAUGCAAGUUAUCUUAGCACUUGCUUACUGAAGCUAAACUCUAUUGCCUGGAGGGAAGAAGAGUUCGUAUAGUCAUACAUGUACAGGGAUUAUCUUCCAAAUCUGCUUGUUUGCAUAGACCCAAUUAGAUUUCCCGGAAGCUCGCACCCAGAUUUUGUUAUCCACAUCGGUUGAUCCUUGCAUACUACCCCUCACGGUUGAUGCGAUGAAUCUGAGACCUAGUAUGCAAUUACAAUGGGUGGAAUCAUUUAAAUUACUUGUUUCACAUAUGACGCAAAGUGCUAAAUAUAAAAAUAUACGAGCAUCAUGCUUAUAUAAAACGACAAGUAAAUCACACGAGUACGUAGGACUGUAGGAGGUACCUAAAACAGCUAGUAAAUCACACAAGUAUCCUUUAAUGACACAGGAGGUGGUACCAUAACUACGACGUGAGAGUUAUGGUCAUCUUAAUUCACAUCGGAAAAAUGACCAAAUAUCUCUACUUCAGUGAAGAUGCAAUCCUACGUAUAAUCUAGAGUUAUGGUCACUGUCGUACAAUGGUGCAAUUAUGUACUCCACUAACUACCACUUCAUUAAUAGAGUUACAGUUUUUAUUCAGUAAAAUAUUGGUUGUACUAAAAAGGAGUAAUCAAUAAAAAUAAAGAUUAAUCCCACUCCUAGCAGAGCUAAAAGAGAGUAAAUUCAGAAAUAUCAACUUAUAAUGCACAAUUUAUCACGGAUCCAUCCUAAAUGGCCAUCUAAUAAGCAACAUAUGUUUGCCCAAACUUUAUGUUGCAACGUCCCAAAUUGCCAUUAUAUAGUACCAAUAAUGACGGAUGAGAAAAUAAAGAAUGAAGUCAUGGAAAUACCUCAAGUAAAUAAUCCAAAAUAUUAUUCUGUAUUCCUUCUCGAGAAACUGGCUUCUUCUUCAAUAAAAAAAAAAUCAUAUUUCUUGUUCAGUUGGAGCGUUCGCAAUAGUAGAACUUUCUUCAGGAUUAUUUGUAGAGAUGUACGGAAUUUCUUUAUCUACAGAUUAAUAGGCUGAAACACCAACACCAUGAUUUUCAGACCCUGCCAACUCUAUAAUUCUAUAAGAUCCAAUACCUGCUAGAUUGUUCCACAACACCAAUGUCCAAGUCAAUACCAUAUAUUAUCCACUGAAAUGUCUGAUUUAAUAUCAUAUGCAAAAACAUUAGAGCAAUGUGCUCUCCUUUACCCAUAUUGUGUACCACAGAACAUUAUGAACAUUAGGGGAGGAUUAGCCUGCAGCUAUUUUAGAUCGUGCACCAAAUACUUGUAGUUUUCCUAAAUUAGGGAGAAGAACAAUGUUGAAAUCCACAAGAGUCGUAUAGAAAUUUCUGCAAUCAAUAUCAUAUCUGAUCCAUGUACGGCAGCCUCUAAAUAAGCAACAUAAGUCCACAGUCCAUAAGUAUGUAGGCUACGCUCCAAUUUGAUGUAUCAUGCAAUUUUGCAAUACUCGGAUAGUUUUGUAAAGCAUACAGAUACUGCAUUGGAGGGCUAUAAGCUUCAUUAAUCUGAAAAUAUGUAGACUGCAGCUGAGAUCGUAACUUAGUGACACAACACAUGGUAUGAUAGCUAAAGGAGAGGCUAUCAAUUGUCAUUUUUUUGCACUGAUGUGCUAGUAGAAAAACACCAUUGAUUCGAUUUGAUGUGUGAAGUCACCUGUCGACUCGGCUUGCCAUUGAUUCUGCGCCUAUUCCCUGGCUUCCUGAAAUAAAAUUUCCCAGCGUCGGAUCAGUUCAAAGAAAAGGCAGAUAGAAAAACCAACAGAGAGAAGAGCCCAUCUGAAUGUGAUCACUUGCCUUGCCGAGAGCAUUGAGCUUCCCUAGCACCAGCUCGGGAGAAUCCGACAAGGAGGGCCUCCUCUUGGGGGAGGCAGUUGUGUCGCCGACGCCGGCCGUCGGAGAUCAGCAAGGAGGGCUCCUUCUCCUUGGGCCUCCUGCUCAUGGUGCGUGAGCCGUGCAGCUCAUCGAGCUCUUCUCCUGCACAUACAGUUUAAGCUUCAAUUCAAAUCAGCUUCAGAAGCUGCAAGACAGAACAUGUUCAGUUCAGGUGUGCAGAGUACAUACAGGUGGAACCGGCCCUUUGGGAUCUUGUUCUGUGGAGGAGGAGGUGGAUUGCCCUGUCGGCGACGAAGCUCCAGCCGUGUGUCACCAGCCUGGGCAUGAUGGUGGUGCUCUUCUUGACCAACGCCGAGCUCCGCGCUGGCGAGGGCCGCUCCUUGACGGGCGUCUUCUCCUCGAAGUUGAGCGCGAUGGGCCUGACAACCUUCUUGGCAGGCUCGGGCGUGCCGACAACGAGCGGGUGGUGCCUCGGGAUGUGCGUGGUGCCGACCACGACGGGGACGGGGGGACCCCGGGUCGAGGCGGCGACUCCGCUUCUGGACGGUUGGUGUCGUCGCGGAGGAGCGGCCGUGCGGUGUCUGCAGGCACUCUUCUUGCUUCUUGCUUCUUGCUUCUUGUCUAGAGAAGUGCAUACAAGAAUUGCUCUAGGGACUCAUCGAUGCUAGAGUGGUAGGUGUGCUGCUUUUACCCCAGAAAUAAUCAUACUGUAUCUAGGAGUAAAAUGCCAAAUAGGAAUGCCAAUGAGGUUGUGCUGCUUCUUUUCAUACUGUGCUUCUUUUCAUACUCAGUUUGUAUCGGCAAUUUUUGUAAGAACAUAUGUGCUAUAGCAAAUGUAGUGGAGCAGGUAUCCAACCAAUCACCUGCCAUUUGCUACUGCUAUAACAAAUGCAGUCUUAUCUACUGCUUCUGUGAAUCUUU